GUGGGCUCAGUCAGUGGAGUAUGCAACUCUUGAUCUCGGGAUUGUGAGUUUGAGCCCUAAUUAGGUGUAAAGGUCAUAUAAAAAUAAAAUCUUAAAAAAAAAUUCUCUCUUUUGAUCUUAAGAUCUGAAAUCUGAGUACCCUCUCUGGGCCUUCAUCGCACCACCUCAGGUCACAACACUCAACACCUUAAAUGAGCCAUCUGUUAAGGAACCCCCAGACAGAGGCUUUUCGGUGGUGAGGCCCACGUGCCCGAUGCUUGGCAGACACUUAGUAACAGCUGUUGGAUGAAGUCUUCUGUAAAUAAUACCUUUGGUGAUUUCCUAGCUUCAGCCAACUCUUGGUCACUCUGGUUCACCGAAGUCAUGCAGAAAGGAAGGGGCGCCACGCACCUCUGUCAUGUGGCCCAGGGCAAGCGUGUUCCCUCCCCAGUCAGGAGCUCACAGCCUAGAAGGGACAUGUGCACAAGGGAUACCUGCCUACCCCGUUCUCACCAGAAUGCAUUUUGGUGCUCCUGCAUUGCACUACGUGCAGCACAUGCUUGAACUACGCUUUUGGUUACUGCAGCCUGAACAAAGAACAGCCGCAGCUUUGCCUGUGCUCAGGGCAGGCAAGCUGUCCUUAAAUGUAGCUGGAAGCCAAGGGUGAGUGAGUUGGGGAGCUCCUGCAGAAACUCCAGCUCCUCCCAGUUACUGGUUCAGGGGAAGAGAAGCUGGAAGGCUGAGGCCUGGGAGGCUAAGCUGGGGCACUAUCGCCACCCGCUGGCACACCCCGCCUACGGCAGUGGUCGCAGCUGCAAGCCCGGCGGGGCGAAACGAGAACAAAGGAUGCCUGUGGGUGGAGGCGUCGGGCUGCGCGACGGCCUGUGUGGGAAGAGCGACCGGCUCUGCGGUGGCUGGCAGGGGCUGCCUCCUGGGAAGGGUGAGCGCCCUGACCUGCGAGUGCGCAAGCUGGGAGCGCUGGCUUGAGCUUCACACGACUUCCAGGCAUCAGCAUUUGCAAAUCCGAAUGGCCAGGCAGGGCCUUAAGAUCUUAGAAUCGUCAAGGUCACUCCCACUCCCAGGACCCUCCCACCCGGUCACAGUCGCGUGGAGGCUGGGAACUGCCCGAGGUCAUCCGGUUCGCCGCUGACGCUGUCUCUGCCCCCCUCCUUGUCGCUCCUCCGCCCUCGCCCCAGUGUGGGCAGCCUUUGUUCACCAAGGUCGUUGGCGGCGUUCCGGCCCGGCCCGCAGAUCUUUGCCUUAGCUCAGGCCUUCCUGCGGCACAGCCCGUGGCUCCCCACUCCCCUUCCCCGGCCCCGGCCCCUGUCCCCUGUCCCGG
rnacentral:lncRNA from 12 species